UUUCAAUGGGGGGGCACUCACAUUUUAUUAUAUGAAAGCAAAAAAGUGGUGUGUAUCCUAAUAUAACUUUUAAAUGAUUAUACAGUUCAUAAUUUUGAAAGUCUUAAUUGCAAUAACAAUCAGAUGAAAUUUGAUGAUUUAGCAUAUUGACAGUUGAUCCUCUUGGGAUCUAAUGCCCCUAAAAUCCUGCCUCUGAAAGAAUCUUUAUUAACAGUAUGCUUUUUUUUAUUGCACUAAUAAAAACUAACCCUUGUUCUUUGGGAUGAUAUAGUUCAUAAAGUUGUGCCACAGUUUGUGCUUGGAUAGUGGCAAGAGUGAAAUGGAUAAGAAAUACAGCAUGACACACAGGAAGCUGUUAUAGACAAGAGGGUUUAAUCUCCUACUGUAGAUUACUUUUCUUCUUGGAUGGUAUAUUUAAUAGCUAAUGAACUUCAUGUUUUUCUUUUUGAAGUCAGUAUCUACAUACUAUAAAUAUACACAUGUAAAUAUAUUCAUUCCCUUUAAGUUUGUAUGUUUGACUAUUUGCAGAUACGAUCAGCUUCAUCAGUUUUCUAUAUUACUUAUAAAGCUUUUAUCCUCAUUUCUAAAAGAAGAUACAAGAAAAUUCAGAUUCACCUUUGUAAAAUGGGGUCACUAUAGCAAUAUCAAAGAGCUACUGUAUAG
rnacentral:lncRNA from 1 species